UUGAAAGAGGCAAUUGUUUUACCCGCUCAGAAUGUCUUCACUGAAUCUAGAUGGUUUUCCAUGGUGUAAAAAUGCAGGUCUUCCAGUACCAUGAUGGCAGUAGUUGGCUUCUAAUGAGUUGAAGAGAAAGUCCUUGAAUGAGUUGCAUGUUUUAUCAAAUAAAGUGAUGGAAAUUGAAGAAAAAGCCACGGUUUAAACCGUGUACCAACUCGCUAAGGGCGGCCUCGGUUUAAGGAACAUCAAAGAAAUUACAAGGUUUGAUUUGUAUUGUGAUUUUAAUGAUAUAUUGAAUCAAGUUAAGAAUAAAUCUAAUUCUGCUUCGACUAUCAAUCUGUAUUGUUGUUUACAUAAUUCAAGUACACUGGCCUCAAUUUUUCUAGAAGGUUUAUUCAUUGCCGCAUUACGUAGUUCUUGAACGCAUUCACUCGGAUGACAAUGUAUAUCUCAAAGUCCUUUAGGCUUAUUUAUAACAUGCCAUUUGUUCGAUCAAAUAUUUUACUGUUUAACAGGGAGGAUAUCAACAUUUUGGGGGAUAGAAAGAAACGAUUCCAGGAAGACUUCAAAUUAGAGGUGCUCUCUUUGGUUCCUGAUAUCGUUGGAUAUACUAUUGGAGACGAGGAUGAGACUUUAUACGAGGAGGAGGAUAUUUUGCGGCACUACUAAUUGGCAUGAUGGUAAGAGAUAUUUUCUUAGAUACAGUUAGUCAAUAACAACAGUAUUUUACAUUUCACCCCGGUUCUGCUAUGAACAAUUGAACAUCUCAAAAAAUCAAAAGGUGUAUGUGAUAGCUGUUCAAGGUAGAAAAAUGUGCCAAGAACACGAAGGGAAGAGAACAAUUGGUUCUGUUCAGGAAUUAGUAAAAGAAGGCAAAAUCAGUUGUUUGUGGUGUGAAGUUUGAAAAUGAACCUUCCAGCAGCCAACUUCCAGUUUUAGAAGGAAAGUCUACGCUAAGGUUAAGAACCAGGACGACAUGAGAAUUGGUAAAGAAGCAGCGAGGUUAUUCGUUGAAAAUAGAGUAUUUGUUGUGAUAGUAAACGUUCAAGAUGAAUCAGGUGAUCAUGUUGUUGCAUCAAUUGCACCAAAGAGAUGUAGUUGCAAGCACUGUGAUGUUACCGAUGAAAAAAAGCAAGUGGAAGACACUAUGAAUUUCCCACUUUAAUAUUGUCAGCUUUCUAAAGAACCAUUAUAUAUGUUCCACUCCGACUUGAAAUAAUGCAGGUAUGUCCAACACGGUGAAUUUGUCACUUUAAAUAGACCCAUGAUUUUUCGUUUGUUAGAAUACUAAGAAAAAGUGGUGAAAAGUGUAGAUGAAUGGAUUCAGCUCACAUGUUUGGUCCCGAAGGAAGAGCCUUUGGGCUAUAAGAUGAUUAUACACGCUGUGAAAUAAUCUUAUAGAU